rnacentral:lncRNA from 1 species
GUGAAGACUUGCCUGAAAAUGACAGCCAUCGCCCUCUAAAGAAGUGUUCACCGAGGACCCAUAGCAUCAUGCCUGGCACUGAUAGGUGCUAGAAAUUCAGGGAUGUUGUGGCUUGGCCCUUGGUAGAUGUUCAUGUGGGUAUUUCCUUUUCCUCCAAGGCACAUGACUAACUUUUAUUUCUCCAGCAGAUUGCAGUCAGGUAAAACCAUGCGACUGGAGUCUGGCUAAUGGAUUUGAGUAAUGCAAGCCACUUCCAGCCCUCACUGCUAACACAUCUUCAUGGUCUUUCUUUCUCUCUUUUGUUCAUCAUUGUCAGAUAAAAGCAGUAAAUACAGAAAUGGAGUUCCAGGUUGCAGAAUUUAACACCAUCACUAGAUCAAAGAUUCUGGUCCUGUGUUACCCAUGUAGGAGAUCCAUUUGAGUAACUAUCUGAUCAGAGAUUGCUGCAUGGGACUUUGUGUAAGCAGGAAAUGAUCUCUAAUGUUGUUAAUCUGCUGAGAUUUCAGGGUUUAUUUGUUACUGAAGUGGCUCUCUUACCUAUUCUGACUAACAGAGUGCAUAUAAUCUCUUCAAGGAGUUAAUGUUUUGGUUGAAGAGGCAUGAGUACAUGAUUAUCACACAUAUGGUUGGUAGAGUGAAUGAGAUGUGUAAGAACCAAUGGAGGUACAGCAGGGAGUAAGAUGGGGUGAUGAUGAUGAUAGGGAAACUUUCUGGAGGAAAUGUAUCCUUGUGUGUUUCUUGCAAGUGUGGACUUGCUGGGGAGGAUGGCUGUGGGCAGGGAGGAGAGGAUUAGAGCAGGUCAGUGUUGUUGGAGCAGAAAAGAUGGGGUUGGUCAUAGUGAUGGAUGGAGCUGAAGAGGAGGUGUCAGCUCACAGAGCAUCUUGCACACCAUGUGGGGUCCCUGAGAUUUUGGAGAUUGAUCCUAUUCAGGUGCUGAUCUGUGAUGUUAUAAGAAGGUGCUGCUCUUUUAAAUCAAUAACUUCUUUCAUUGGAUAAAUCUAGCUGUUAAAAAAUUAAAGUCAGCUGAACUAAACAGCAAGCUUAAUGAUGUAGUUGAUUCAUAUUCUGGCGUAAGUUCCUUAUUCAGAAAACUGUUCAUUUGUUUGAGGACCACACUUUGAGUAGUUCUCUUUCUGACAACGUUUUUUUUUCUGCUUGCUGUGGGCAAUGGUUAUGAGGGUGUAUAUUUGGAGGCUGGGAUACUGUUGAAG